CACGUAGGGGGCAAGCGUUGUCCGGAUUUAUUGGGCGUAAAGAGCUCGUAGGUGGUUCGAUAAGUCGGGUGUGAAACCUCCAGGCCCAACCUGGAGACGCCACCCGAUACUGUCGUGACUAGAGUCCAGUAGGGGAGCGUGGAAUUCCUGGUGUAGCGGUGAAAUGCGCAGAUAUCAGGAGGAACACCAGCGGCGAAGGCGGCGCUCUGGGCUGGCACUGACACUGAGGAGCGAAAGCGUGGGGAGCGAACAGG
rnacentral:misc_RNA from 1 species